AGCUUUGCGCAGUGGCAGUAUCGUAGCCAAUGAGGUUUAUCCGAAGCAAUUAUUGCUAAUUGAAAACUUUUCCCAAUAGG
rnacentral:snRNA from 1 species